AUGCACCUGAGCUAGUCUGGAUAUAUUCCUUAAAGGAGACAAGAACUUUUUUGUGCAAAAUGAACUUUUGUGUAGUUUGACAUCUGCAUGCAGUGAACUGUCUCACUUAACUUUUUCAACUUUGGGCAAAGAUAUACAUAAACCAUAGAUAAUAGACCUACAGUACAGCUGUUUUCAUGUUGCGUUAAGCACUGGAAGACAUUAACAAUGACUUACCUUAAAGUAAAAGGUUCCGUGAGGGGUAUUUAGGGCCACUGUAUUUUUGGUGCCACAAUUUUCUACAUUGUUGGCAUUUUAAAAGUUGUUUUCUAAAUGAACUUAAAGAAAGAAAGCUCAAAGCCCUAAAGUUUUGAUCAAAUUCAAUAGAGUUUUCAGAAAAAAAUACAAUUUUAAGAUAGCACUCUUUAAACUAGAUGUGCAAUGACUUAUUCAAAUUAUCUUUAUUCAAGAAAAGAGAAAAGAAGAAAGAUAAGUCAUUAGACUAUAAAUUUCCAUUUAAAAAGACAAGUCACAAAACUAAUCAGUGACUCUAAACAAAAAUUUACUGGAUGAAUUGUAUAUAUAAAAUUCUAAUCACUUAUGAUUCUUAGUUAACAUUUUAUAAGCUUUGUAUUUUACAGGGGCCUCUAUUUAUCCAAAUUUAUUGUUUUUGUCCAUUUUUCUCAGCCUUUUGCAAAAAAUAUGCAAGAGUGCUGAAACUUGGAUAAAACGGGUCAUGUAUACAGAGAAAAUAAUCUAAAAGUUAUCUUUAAGAGGGUUUUAGUAGUGUCAACUUUUUAAAAAAGUACUAUGUGACCAUAACAUACGUAUAUUUUAAAGAGGGAUUAAGAUUAAAUUAAAAUAAAUGGAUUCAUAAAAUUGCUAUUUAAAUACAGUAUUUACUUUUGUAAUUGAAGCAUGAUUCCACAACCAGCUGUGGCAUUUUAUUUCACUUUUCUAGAUCAGAGGCUUUAAUUUGUAGUUAAUCAUGAUGUGGAAAGUCAUCUUCUCUCUACUCCAUCAAUUUUUUUCAUCCGUUUUUGAACAUGCUGAAGCACUUUGAUCUUGCCAUAAGUGUUGUCCUAUACCACUAGGUGGUGUUCACUAAUGGGAGGGCCUCAGCUCACCGGCUCUCCAAUUUGGGAAAAAGCAAGUACCUCCUCCCUACCAUCAGCAGAAACUGAAUGAAAUUAAUCUUUGCAACUUGAAUCUGUUUUAAGUAGCAUUACCAAUAAGCAUAGUGGUAUCUGAAUAAGGAAUGACAUUUACAUUACAUUUUAUUAAAUAAGAGAGAAAGUUAAUGUGCUACUUGAAAUGUUAUUUGGUUCUUUGUCCCCCUCAUUGCAGAGUAUAGAUAAGGAUGCUCUUAGGUAAAAUGCAGCCACAAGUUUUCCGAGUUCCUUUAGUCUGUAGGGUAGGCUAUGAGGUACAGAAUGAUUAGAAACUGAAAUCCUCAUUAUUUUUCUCUCAAAUACAUUUCACAUACAUUGAAACAGAAAUAGGCAAAAUUUAUGAGGGAAAUCUGAUUUCCCAAUUCUGAUGAAUAGAUAUACUAAGACAGUAGCCUUGUUUAACCAGUGCCUGUAGAAGGCACUAGAAUAAAUAGCAUGUCCAAGAGUAUAACAACUUUUUUUGUAAAUUUAGUUACUAGCCUAAUCAAACUGUAAAUAUAACUCACUAAUUGGUACCAUAUUUUCAUUUUUCUUAUUGUUCAUCUUUAAGGUUUCAUUUUAUUGCUUUUUUGUAGCUCUAAGUAACUAAUCAAUUUAAUUUCAAAGGAAAGUUAAAGAAAGUUUAAGCUUUUACUGCAUGGAUUCUGCCCGCCUAGCUAGGUUCUGAACUGACACUGAAGUAUGACAAGAUACAGAUUAUAGUCCAAAACUAUCCUUUACAGUUCACAAUUUAAGAACAAAUUUAACUUUAUAUACAAAUAAUAAUUGUUAUCUAAUUAUAUUUAGUUGUUGCUUUGGCAACAAAAUUACAACAUGGCUACCUUUAGACAUUUGUGUAUGUGAACAUUUUACUUGUAAACUAUAGGUGAUUUGUGACAGUAUGAGCCUGUAGAAAAUACAGCUCAAAACUAUGAAAACAGACAUGGUUGAGUUCUUUUUUAAUCCCAAAGGCCCAUAUAUAAAAGCUGAAUUUGUGUCCUUGUGUGACUUUUUGUGAAAAAGUUUAUAACACAUGGAUUCUAGAAUCAGGCUUUAUAGUUUAUAGAAUUUGUUGUGUGGAUAGGGUUAUUCCACAGUAUUUAGACUUCAAAACGCAAUCAUUGCAUUUUUAAUACAUUACCUAACUUUUUUUAUAACUUAAUUCAAAAUUACCCCAUUCAAGUGGCAUAGCUGUAGCUGCAAAAAUUCUGUUUUCUGGAAUUACAUGAGCAAAUAUAGCUAUAUGAGGAUUAAUGUAUGACUAAAGCCUCUUUUGAAAUUAAUUCAUAUUUUUAAAACUAUACAUAAAGAUACUGUGGAAUGACCCCUUAACAGUGUUUAAGAAACAUAUGCUGCAGUUAAUUGACUGUCUCAGUUAGGGUGCGGAUGUGUGAGACACACCUUUUUUGCACUUAUGUACAUAGUCCAUGAAAGCAAUCCUUGGAGCUUUUUUUAAAUGUAAGAAGUCUGUGAUAAUAGUGGAAAAGUUAGUAAGAGAGAGUUAUUUCUAAGGCUUUGAAAAGGAGGGUGUUUUUGCUCUAAGACUUAACUAAAGCAUAAUGUUGCUUUGCUGUUACGGAGGCUUUCUAGUUUGCUACAGGUCACCAAAAGAGAAGGCUAGUAACAGGUAACAGGUCAGCCUCAGCUAACAGCACUGAACAAGAGUAGAAUAACUUCAUCUUUUAACAAGAUCAUUAGCAAAGAUUGUUUGCUUUUUAAAUUAAUCCCCCCUAUAAACACACACACACGUGUGCACACACACACACACACACACACACCGGGCAGUUUCUAGAACAAGUUUUCCUUUUUCAGUGGUUGUAAGCAGUGAAAUACCUCAUGUAUUACAAGAUAGAUAUUACCGUUAUGAUAGAAUAAGAUUUCAUCUUUCACAGAAAGUGAUCAGCUGAUAUAUGUGUCAGUUAAAAUGUUUAUCAAUUAAUAGGUAUUUAAGUGACAAAUUGUUAAUGUUGACCAUUGUUCCUCCUUUAAGAUCCAGUAACCAAAACCAAAUCGGUAACCAUUGAAAGAUGAUAUUUAACAGUUAAGGAUGGCCAGCAUAGGGCCGUUCAUUCCCUUCAACAAAGGGAAAAAAAAUGCUCCUGGCACAACUUUAUAACUGGCUUCAUUUACAUUAUACCUGUUCAGUGGAAGCUGUUUUUUGACCUACCUUUACCAGAUUACAAAGUAGUUAACUGUGCCACUUCAGCCUCCCACUGUUUUGUUUUAACUAAACAGAAGAGAACCAGCCAAAAUCUUACGUAACACAGGAGCUGGAAGACAAUGUUUCAAUCUGACCAUCUCUGCCAAUUUUAGCUCCCACGCCACCUAUAGAUAGCCAGUUAACUUUCUUUUUGCCCCCAGGCAAUGAGGCCUAGAAGAGGUCAAGGUUAGAAAGGUUAAGCAUUUGAUCACUACAGGUACUUGUAGUACCUAGAGAAGGAACCCAUCCUGGGGUUGGUGGAGUUGGUAUUGCUACUCGUUUUGAUAGUUCUCAUUUACAGAGAAAGAAAAAUAAGCCAAAGCCAGAAAGCAAUCCAAGCCUUACAGUUGUCCAAUACCUCAGGGCCAGUUGGCUAGAAUUUUCUUUUCCCUCAGCCCAUAAUCACUUAGAGUUAGCCAUACAACAAACAGCCUGACAAUCUGACCAGCAUUUCCAUUGAUAUAAAAUGUAAGCAUUCCUUCAUUCUGUAGUUAGGAACUCCAACUUCAGCCUUAUCUCCAACAUAAUUUCCCAAUUUAACCUAUGUACUGAUAUGGACAUUUCUUUGUGAAUAUGCCAGAUUCAAGAAUGUAUUUUUCUAAGGUCAAUAGAGAUACGACAUUUUAAGUCAGGAAAAAUCACCUAUAAAUUAGUAGGAAUAACUGUAGAAGCAUCACAAAAGAUACCCCAUGAAUAGAUGGCAUGGUGUGCAUGCUGACAGCCACGGGGUCAUACUCUGGAGUUUCAACAUAGAGGCUGUGUUUCAAUAAAUAAGACAAAUUGGGGAAUUAAGUAAAACAAAUGGAUGUAACUGAGGCCCCCCCCCAAAAAAAGCCCUCUAUUACUAACCUCAAGAAAAUAUUUAGUUUGACUAAUUUGUGCAGUUUCCAGCUCUUCUACUUGUUCUUGCCUGUAAGAGAAUCACUAAUACUCAAAAGCUGGAUUAUUGAAGAGAAAUUUUAUCUUUAAAUAGAAUCCAUCCACAAUUAUGGUAUAUGUAAAAAAAAUGUAUGACUAUGAAAUAAGUCGCAGCUCUUUGCAGAUAUUGCAAAAUCCUUGCUAGGCAUCUACAUCAUAUUAGUUUUUUAAAAAAUACCUCUGUAACAAGACCUAAAAGUAACCUAACUAUUAAGCAGUGCUUUUUUCUCUGAAAACACACAACCUAAAGAUUUAUCUGUCAUAAAACUGCAUGGUUCCAGAGCUUUAUUUCUGUGUAGAGAUGCUAUUUGUUAGUGAUGGAAACAAAUUACUUUGUUGCUAUGUCUUUUGUGUCUAGCAGUUGAGAGAAUGAUAUGACCAUCAUAUCACUGGAUUAUGGGAAUGAAUGCCCUUUUCAAAAUAAACUUAUUUAUUAAUAUUUUAAUAUUAUUUUAAUAUUAUAAUAUUAAUAAUAUUUUAAUAUUAUUGUUGCUGCUUUAACAGAAAAUGAGCCAUUUGUCCCCAUGCUCCCAAAUUACAAUGAUUUAAAUUAAAAAACUUUUGAAGGAUUUUCCUAAAUAUAUUCUUUUUUAAAGGACUAACUUUGUGCAUUCAUAUAACAACAAUUUGGAAUAAUGUGAAAAAUGGAGGCACAUAAUUUGGGUGGAAAAUGGCGAUUAAAAAUAUAUAUAAGAAAAUUAUUAGCCAUGUGUAACAUAUUUAAAUAAUGACCAGAAUAUUUCAUGAGUACCAACUCUUCCCAUAGUAAUUUUCCUCCAAAAUGCAAUAGCUCAUUCCCUCAACUGCAGACGCUUUGAUUUUUUUUCAAGUUAUAGUGCUGUAGUGCUUGUUUAUGUUUAAAAGUGCACAUUAUGCAGCUCAUUUUAGUAUGCUACUUCUAUGUUUAUUUUUUGUUCUUCUAAUAAAAUGCAUAAACUUC
rnacentral:lncRNA from 1 species